rnacentral:rRNA from 1 species
UACGGGGGGGGCAAGCGUUGUUCGGAAUUACUGGGCGUAAAGGGCUCGUAGGUGGCCAACUAAGUCAGACGUGAAAUCCCUCGGCUUAACCGGGGAACUGCGUCUGAUACUGGAUGGCUAGAGUUUGGGAGAGGGAUGCGGAAUUCCAGGUGUAGCGGUGAAACGCGUAGAUAUCAGGAGGAACACCUAUGGCGAAGGCAGCUCGCUGGGACGGUACUGACGCUGAGGCGCGAAAGCGUGGGGAGCGAACAGG